UCUUCCUCUUUUUAAGAAGCCCCAAAGACCCCAUUCUUAAAAGACGAACAGGAAAAGGAGACUUGUAGUCCCUGAUGUUUAUGUGUUCCAGUAACUUCUGAAACUAGGAUAGAGCAAAGGGCCUGGAUGUGAUCAAAGAAAACUGCUUAAAAAUCGACGUCUGAGAAGACACACUGAAGUGAAACCUGCUCUCACCCAAGCAGAAACAAUGCUAUGAGGAAGAUAAUCUGCAUCCUGAUUAUCUGGUGCCAUUAGGAAAAGCCAAAACUGCCAGUGUCGCAUCUGGCUGCUGCUGCUGCCACCUCCUUAGUCAACCUCCGAGAGAAAAAUCUGUCCAGCUAACUUGAUUGUUAUGAUGGCAAAAAUGAGAAAAAGAGAUCUGAAAAAAAGAAAGAGGAGGUGACAGCAAAUAAGACAGCAUUGGCCCCAGGGACUGCAAUGAAACAAAAUACCAUAAGAAAACAGCAAGGAUAGAACCAAGGAAAAAAACCCUCUAUAAAAUGAAAGAUAAAUUUAGAGACGGCUGAAGAAGGAUCCAAUCAAGUUGAUCCAACUUUAAACAGAAAGUCACAUCCUUUCCUGUAGCAGAAUCAACAGGCACCUUGCAUUUAGCUGCAGGUAUAAAUCCUGCUUUGCUGUCUCACCAAGGCAGUUUUUGCUCUCUGGUUUUGUAUCUCCUUAAGAAAAGAAAAACUUGUAUGCUA